ACACAAAAUAACUUCUUUAAAAAAUUUGUUUUAAUCAAGGAAAAAUGAGCAUUCCAUGCAAACAACAUUUGAAUCAGCAUGAGGGGUCUGCAGAGAUCACAGUCUCCUAGAGCUCAACUACAGUGCAUAGUGGCAGGACUACAGUGACCUUUUCUUUGGUCUUCUUAAAUGCACAGAGGAUGUAUUAACCACACAUCUUCUAGCAAUGCGCUCAACUGGCAGAAAUGAUGCUGUAUGACGUGUCUGUUCCCUGCAAGCCCCAAACUUCUAUUGGCUUUCCAUAAAAAUGUCUGUCCGGGUGGAGAUGAAGCCAGGAAACUUGUGCAAGAACAUGUUUAAAUGCCGUACCCUUUGACCCAACAUUAACAACUAUAAACUGCUUUAUAAUGGCUGGUCGUAGUUCUGCUAGAGGGUCAAGGACGGGUUCCUCAAAACUGUUAGUGUUUCCACACCACUUAGCAUAAACAUAUGCUGACCUUUAUGCUCUGCAUCUAUCGAUUGAGUAAGUUACAUUCAUAUAUGUUACCCGUUUACAUGUCAUGGCAAAACAUUCAACCUCAGUGACACAAGGGUACAUCUGAUGAUACAUUGUCAACAUUGCAUGUCUGUCAGACUCUAGAUUGUCUGGUGGAAUGGAGAAAGAGGCACUGUACAGUUUUCUAGGGAAAGUCGUUCUGCUGACACCAACACACUGCUUUACAUAAAGCAUAUCAGCUGUUUCAAAGUCCCAACCAUUUGUCUUCCUAAAAUACUGGUCCUUCCGUAUAACAAUAGCCUCGUAUGUGAUUGGAGGACCCUUAGACUCCUCGUCCAAUCACGUGUGAGGUCAUAGGCAUGACUCAGACAGCAGUACUUGCAAGACGAGCAUACAAACAGACACGUGUGUUACUAUAUUCAGAAGAACUGUAUCUCCAGUUCCUUUGUUUGGUUUUUGCUGGUUCGUGAAUAAUGGCGGGACGACGUCUCGCGUUCAACUCGCCUUCAACUCCUCUCCGCGGUCACCAACUUUCGGCCAGUCCGCAGACAGAUGAGAAGAAGCUGCUGAAUGAUCUCAGUGGAUCGUCUCGUCAACUCCAACAACAAACUGCCGAUAUCAACGAGCGGUUCGCUCCACUGGAGCGUUCGGGACUCUGCGGGUUUCUGUCCAUGGAGGAGAGGAACCGACUCAAAGAAGAGGAGACGGGCGCACAAUCCCACGAUAGGGAAGCGGUGCGCCGUCUUCACAACUCCGAGACGAACUACAGGCGCCACGAACCGGAGCAAGGGUAAGAUUUAAAGAAUAUGCUUUCAUUCUGCGGGAUAAGGAAAUAUACACGUAUAGAUACGAUCAUAACUGUACAUUUAGUUUUCACAGACUAAUCUCGCCUCAUAAUGAGCCGGUGACCUCGUAUUUGCUCCGGGAAAAGUCCAGAUUUAGACGACGUCAUUGUGUGUAAGUGACACUGUUUCUCCUUCCUUGUUAAAUGUUACUGUGACUUGCGUUUGAUUUUCUUUUUGUAUUCAUACCACUCAUUUAAGAGUGAGACGUAUUUUGAGACGGGACGCAGGAGCUUCAGGUUCAGGCGGAACACUCAUUGCGGAGUUCAGCGCGGAGUCGAGCGAGAAGAAAGAGGGUCAGAGUUUAUUUGCUGACUUUUUCAGGUGCAUUGAUCGAUGUGUUGUGUCCGUACGCAUCGCACAGUACUGAUUCAUUGUUGUUUUUACAGCUGCUGGAAUCGAGACAAAGUGUGCUGGCUGAUGACGAGGUGGAACGCUGGAAAUCCGCCACCGUAGAGCUCACGUCGGGCGGAGGGGACGGCGUUGUUGGCGGGGUCUCGGGGUGGAUUGUACGGUCGCCACACGCACACGAGCCGCCUGCACAACAGACCUGCCUCGGAAAACACGGCGCCAGUGACGGUCAACAACCCCGAGGAGGCAAACGGACAGUUUACUGAGCUGUAGUUUUUAAACCGCCGUUACCCAAGUGUGGGCAGAUCCUCACUUUGUAUGUAGUUGUUGUUUGUGUGUUGUUAAUAAAGCUCUUUCUUUGCAUAAACAUGUGGCAAAUGUUCAUUUUCUCUAUAAAUUCAUUGAUGUCCUGGUUGGUAUCCUAAUAAUAGUGUAGUAGCCUACAUAGGAUAACCAUGAAAUGAAUAUACAGCAUAAUAUGAAUAUAUAAAUAAAAUGAGGUGACCAAUAGCGACAGAUCUGCCAACCAAUCACGAGUGAUUGAAAGUUGUUUUCAUCCAAUCAUGAACAAGGAAACUCGAGCCUGGUCUGCCCACGUGUGGUUUUGCUGCCAAUAACGAGUGAUUUUAUUUGUUCGUAAGUUGUGGUUUCAUCCAAUAAGGAGUAAGGAUAUUCAAGCCCGCUUGGCUCGGCCACCCGCGGUUUUGCUGCAUUCAUAUGCUAAUUCGGGCCAUUCGCAACUCCGCCAGCUCUCCACCUACGUCAUGGUUCGUUUCCGACAAUUUGUGGCACAGACAAACGCGACGUGCGCGGGUUGCAAAUUGUCGCCCCCCCCCGUAUGGCAUAAGCUAACAACAACCCGUGUCUUAACACUAGCAUAGCGGCUAACACGUGUGAUGUUACUAGAUGUUACUGGUUACUGUUAAGGUAAAGAACUCCAUCACCCAGCAUUCCCUAGUCAGUGGUGAGGGACAUGCGCAGAGCGGAGCGCGGCAGACCCCGGGUAGCAUUACAGCGGACAGUGCUAGUUGACAUUAAAAGUUCAUGAAACGUAUAUCACGCCUCGUCUGCUUCUUAUAAGAUUGAACAAGUUACAACAUGGUGUCAGAAGUGGCCGUGAGCAGCUAAUGAAGAUAGAUUUGCCACGGGAGAACGACGAGAAAAAGAGAGAAAAAAAAAGAAAUCUCCGGUCGCGUGAGGUAACGUGCUAACAAGUCAACAUGCUAAAAGAGUUUACUAAUUCGUGUGAUGGCUACAAGUGGCAGCGGAAGUGAAGCGGGAGAUGAAGGACAGAUCGAACAUGUAGAAGAGGAUCUUGUGCCUGAAGCAGAGGACAACCGGCAACGCGAGAGGGCUGGGGAAGUCCCUGUACCCCGACUUUCAGUAAUGGAGAGGCUAAGUCCACCUACUUCCAUGCAACUGACUGGUAAUCUUGCUCAUAAUUGGAAGCGUUUUAAGCAACGAUUCAAUAUAUAUUUAGCAGCAAGUGGAGCAGGGGCUGAUGAUGAAAAACUGAAAGCUCACAAUCUUUUGCAUGUUAUGGGAGAAGAUGCUUUGGACAUAUAUAAUAGCUUUCAGUUGGAUGAAGCUACUAUGACCUUAGCAGAAUUAAUGAUAAAGUUUGAAGAGUACUUUGUGCCUAGCCAGAACGUGACGUUUGAGAGGUACAAGUUUUUCACCCAUGACCAGAAGCAAGGAAUACAUUUCGAUCAGUACUUAGCAGAGCUUCACACAUUAAGCAAAACAUGUGAAUUUGGCAUCCUGAGAGAUUCUCUAGUGAGAGACAGGAUAGUUUGUGACACAGUGGAUAAUGCACUCAGAGAGAGACUGCUCAUAGAGGCUGGACUUACACUGGAAAAGUGUAUCACUAUGUGCAGAGCAGCAGAAACAACUCUAGCACAAGCAAAAGAGCUUCGGAGAGGUGAAACUACAGUGCAUGCAGUACAUAAAGAACAGAGAAAUAAGAAAACAUUUACUAAACAAAAAGACCAGAAAGAGAAAUCUGCAGAAUUCAAAUGUGGUAAAUGUGGAGGCAGCCACAAGCCAAAAUCAUGUCCUGCGUAUGGAAAAUCCUGUAACAACUGUGGAAGGAGCAAUCACUAUGCAAAAUGUUGCAAGUCAGCUUUUAAGCAGAAGGUUCACGCAGUUGGUGAGGAAGAAGAGGAUGAUGGGGAGUUCCUUGUGGAUGUGGUGCAGGCUCGGACUGAUGAAAAAGAGGAAUGGAUUGUGCCAAUCGAAGUGAACAAGACGGUAAUACCAUUCAAGCUAGAUACAGGUGCCCAUGUAAACCUGUUAUCUUAUGAGGAUUACAAGACAUUGGCAGUGAAAAGCAAAAUUCAUCCAAUAAAAACAAAAGUGACAGGAUACACUGGAGAAAGGGUUCCUGUUAAAGGCAGAUGCAUCGCAACCUUCAAAUACAGAGACCAGCAGAUAAGAGCAUUGCUACUGAUUGUGGAUACGAGUGCACAACCAAUCCUGGGACUCAAGGCAUGUACAACCUGGUCAAAAGAGUGUUUGUAGUGACAUCAGAAACUGCCAAUGAUCAUGACUCACUGAUGGAGGAGUAUAAAGACUGCUUCGAAGGACUUGGAUGUCUACCCGGAGAACACAAAAUAUGCAUAGACAAAAGUGUGUCUCCUGUUGUGCAUCCUUGUAGUAAAGUUCCUUUUUGCAUUGCGUGGAAAACUGAAAGAGGAACUUGCGCGCAUGGAAAAACUAAAGGUCAUCAAGAAAAUACAUGAGCCAACUGAAUGGGUCAGCUCGCUGGUUGUAGUACAAAAGAAAACCGGUGCUCUGAGAACGUGCUUGGACCCAAGAGACUUAAACAAAGCGAUCAAAAGAGAGCACUUUUAAGUUACCAACCAGAGAAGAAAUCAUGACACAGUUUGCUGGAGCUAAAUGGUUCAGCAAACUAGACGCUUCAUCAGGUUUCUGGCAGCUGAGGCUGGACGAGGAGAGUUUGAAGCUGUGCACAUUCAACACACCUGAGGGCAGGUACAGGUUUCUUCGUCUGCCGCAUGGUAUCCGGUCAGCGCCUGAAGUCUACCAUAAGACUAUUCAUAUGAUCUUUGAGCACAUACCAGGAGUGGAGACAAUGAUGGAUGACGUCAUAGUCUGGGGGUCGACUCGAGAAGAACACGACGAAAGACUGAGACAAGUCCUAGACAAGACAAGGGAAGUGAAUCUGAAGCUUAAACCUCUGGUGUCCAUCAUGUCCAAACCUCUGAAUGACUGUCCUGUACGGAUACAGCGCAUGCUAAUCAGGCUGCAAAAAUAUGACAUACACAUGAUAUACACACAAGGGAAAUACAUGUACACCGCCGACACCUUGUCUAGAGCAGUGGAUAAGGGGGAGCGUGCGGACAGCGAAGACACUGCAGAAAUCCAGGCGUAUGUGGAUAUGAUUGUGUUGAAUCUGCCGGUAACAGCUGACAGAACAGAACAAAUACGCAGAGAGACAAAUGCAGAUGAAACGAUGACAGAACUCAAACGCACAAUACAGACAGGAUGGCCUGAAAACAAAAGGGAUUGCCCCACAAAAAUACAAGACUACUGGAACUGUAGAUCUGAGCUCAGUGUGGUGGAUGACUUAGUGUUGAAGGGGAGCAAGUUUGUUAUUCCAUCAUCGUUACGUAAACAAAUGCUCCAAAAGAUACACAAAGGCCACCUCGGAGAAGUCAAGUGUAAACGGCGGGCAAGAGAAGUAAUGUACUGGCCGAGAUUCAAUCAAGAUAUCAGCCAGACAACAGCGUCGUGUGAGCUAUGUCGCAUCUACAGGCCAAAACAACAAGCUGAGCCGCUGAUGACUCAUCCGGUGCCCCACAGACCGUACUACAAGGUUGGUACUGAUCUAUUUGACUGUGAUGGAAAGAGUUAUAUAGUGGUCACUGACUACUUUUCAAAUUAUCCAGAAGUUGGAGCGCUGCAGUCAACAUCAAGCAAAGCAGUCAUCAGCUACCUCAAGACUGUCUUUGCCAGGCAUGGAGUGCCAUGUGAACUGUUUUCAGACAAUGGGCCCCAGUUUUCCAGCUGUGAGUUUGCUGCCUUUGCCAGGGAAUGGGGGUUUCAACACUCAACAUCGAGUCCAACCUAUCCAUGGUUGAUGAAUCAAACUCACCUACAGCCACUGAUCAGACCAGUUCAGCUGAAAUGACUCCUCAUACUCCAGCUGUAAAACAACCAGAGGUCUUCAUCACAACAUCGUCACAUGAUGCUCCUCACAAUGAAUCAGAAUCAACUGCUCAAGUCAUAAACCCUGUUCUCAGUGAUCCAUCUGACGACAUAUUGACAGCAGAGUCCAGUGACAUCAUCUUUACAUCAUCGGUGAGACAACAAGAGGUCAUAAACUCCAAUGAACCAGAACUGUCAACUAAAUCCACUUUCCUCCCAUCACAUGAUGCUUCUCUCAAAGUAUUUCUUCCUCAGUAGAAAAUACUGUUGCCAGUAAUCUACCUGAUGUUCUAUUACACGAAUCUCAUGCAAACUGACAAAGUGUGAUAAAAACGAAAGGAGAAAAAUGAAGAGAUGAAUGAUGAUCUCAGUGAAAACUCAACAAAGAAAAGAGAUUCAGAAAAGGGAAAAAUAUGCUUCAAAUAAAGCAUAUAAAGCAGACAAGAUAUCUCACGCAAAAAGGCAAUACCAGAACAACCCUGAAUUUAGACAAAAGAAAAUAAAUAAUACAAGAGCCAACGUUGACUUGAAGCAAAAACGGAAAGAGUACAUUUACUCCCGGUACAGAAAAGAUGCUGAUUUUAGACAGAAAAAAAAACAGAUCUUUGUCUCUCGUUACAGAAAUAAUCCUGAUUUUAGAGAGAAACAAAAACAGCACUUUGUGGGCCGCUACCAAGAGAAUGCUGAGUUUAGAAAGGAAAAAAAGCUGUACUUCACUGCCUUUUACAAAAACAGCAUUGAUUUUAGAGAAAGGUAGAGAUCUCACAUUAUUCAGCGUUACGCUGAAUGUGACCAGGCAUUCAGGCUAAGACACAAACAACUAAUGAAACAACGAAUGAAAGACAGAUACAAAAACAAUCCUACAUAUCGGAGUAUGCAGAACAUGAGAUGUGCCAUGAAAAUAAAAAGGAAAUACAGAGGGAUAAAUAAACCAACAGAAGAAAGUGACAACAGUUUGAUCAAAGAGGCCAUAUCUGUUUUCAGGUCACAAAUAAAGUCCGGUCCCACUUAUGUUUGCACCGUCUGUCACAAAGCAUAAUUUCCAAACCAAGUGAGACCCUGUAAAAGGUUAAACUAUCUAUGAAAUCCAGACGUGGUUGCAGCAUGCCUGACAGGAAAGUACGUCCAUGUGUGUGAUGACGAGUGCACAGAUGAACAACAGUGCAAUGUGCCUGAUGAGAGAAAGGAAGAGUGGAUCUGUCACACCUGCCACAAUCAUCUUAAAGAUGGAGUCAUGCCAAAACUCGCUGUAGCCAACAACUUGGAGCUCGCUGACAUUCCACCUGAACUGUGUGACCUCAACAUAUUGGAGAGACAUCUCAUAGCCAAGUGCAUAGCGUUUGCAAAGAUCAAUCCUCUUCCUAAAGGACGACAGAGAGCGAUACAUGGCAACGUGGUUUGUGUCCCGUCUGAGGUGCAGGAAACAGUGGAAGCGUUACCCAGACUGAGAAGUGAGUCUCAAGUGAUGAGAGUAAAGCUGAAGAGACAAUUGUGUUACAGAGGACAUCAGCUGUUCCAGACUGUCACCUGGUCUAAACUAGUGCAGGCGCUGCAUAAAUUCAAACGCAUUCAUCCACAAUAUCAGGACAUUACUAUCAGAGAUGAGGCUGAGCUUUGUGACCCAACACUUCCUGAUGAAGAUGAGGAUGAUGAUGAUGAUGAUGCCACUAUGGAUGACAACGACUAUGAUGAUGCUGAUUUAAAGGAAAUUGACAUGUGUGAGAUAAGUGCACUGUGUGAGACAGAAACUGAGCUUGAUGGAGAGCAGGAUGUUGACAUGUUGUCUUGUGAUGGUGAACAACCAAAGGAGCAGAGAGAUGAUGAAGAACAGGAAGGUGACAUGCCUAACGGUGGUUUUGCUCUAGAAUCAUGUCUUCAGCCGUGUGAUGUUUCAUGAUGUUUCAUGAGAUGUGUGCAUCUCUUCUACAAGGCCACCAGACAUCCAGGCGACCUGAAAUCGGACUAAGUAUCUCUU
ensembl:lncRNA